rnacentral:rRNA from 1 species
GGAUUGACACAUCGGUCGUGCCUUAAGGGGUAUGAACUGGUGUAGUCAAUUUCUCACCUUCUGGAGAACCYCYAUGCCCUUAAUUGGGUGUCGCGGGGAACCAGGACCUUUACUUUGAAAAAAUUAGAGUGUUUAAAGCAGGCAUUUUGCUUGAAUACAUUAGCAUGGAAUAAUAAAAUAGGACGGCAUGAUUCUAUUUUGUUGGUUUCUAGGAUCACCGUA